GCUAAACGCGAAGAACCUUACCAGCCCUUGAUAUGGUCGGACGGUUACCAGAGAUGGUUUCCUUCACUUCGGUGACUGACACACAGGUGCUGCAUGGCUGUCGUCAGCUCGUGUCGUGAGAUGUUGGGUUAAGUCCCGCAACGAGCGCAACCCUCGCCCUUAGUUGCCAUCAUUUAGUUGGGCACUCUAAGGGGACUGCCGGUGAUAAGCCGGAGGAAGGUGGGGAUGACGUCAAGCCUUCAUGGCCCUUACGGGCUGGGCUACACACGUGCUACAAUGGCGGUGACAGAGGGUUGCUAUCCCGCGAGGGUGAGCGAAUCCCACAAAGCUGGUCUCAGUUCGGAUUGGAGUCUGCAACUCGACUCCAUGAAGCUGGAGUUGCUAGUAAUCCCGGAUCAGCACGCCGGGGUGAAUACGUUCCCGGGUCUUGUACACACC
rnacentral:rRNA from 1 species